AACGUAGGACGCAAGCGUUAUCCGGAGUUACUGGGCGUAAAGCGCGGGCAGGCGCCAACCAAGUCUGAUGUGAAAUCUCUUCGCUCAACGGAGAGAGGCCAUUGGAAACUGGUCGGCUGGAGGGCAGUAGAGGUAGGCGGAAUUCCGGGUGGAGUGGUGAAAUGCGUAGAGAUGUGGAGGAACACCAAUGGCGAAGGCAGCCUUCUGGGCCAACACUGACGCUCAUGCACGAAAGCGUGGGGAGCAAACAGG
rnacentral:rRNA from 1 species